GUAGUUUUACUGUCGCAAAUACCCGUUUACCUGUCUCUGCUACUCGUCGCCAGUAAACUAAAUUUGCAACAGUAAAACUACCGAUGGACGUCCGCAAAGCGUCAAAUACAAUACAGUUAUCUCCAAAUUUUUCAAAAGGCCAAGCUAAAAAUACAAUACAGUUAUCUAAUUGAAUGGAAUGAAGUGUACAAGUAAUGAAAUAAUAUUCAGCAGGAGACUUUUCAAUCAUAUGAUAUGUCAUGUUAAAUUCCAAUUUCAAACAUUUUACAAUCUUUAUCGAAUGCAUUAUUAUACAAUUAUUGACUUUUGAUGAGGUUGAUACAUUAUGAUUUAUCAACCCCAUAUAUAUAUGAUAUUAACCAAGGACAACAGCAAAGUGUCAUUGUAUCAACAAUCAAAAGUUAAUAAUUGUCUUAUUAUAUAACUUUUUAUCCUUCUCCAAAUUUCUAGUUUUUGCUCAAGAUACUUAUAAAACUGCUUCCUGUUUAAAAAAAAUAAAAUAUAUCAUAAUGCAGUUGCUAAGUUAAAAUAUUUAAAUAAAGAAAACUAUACAACAAUUUCACACAAAAAAAGAAGAAAAGAUAAAUAUACACCAAAAACCAAAAGGAAAAGAAAAAAACAUGAAUUUUCUUGACGUCCUGAACAUACGUCAUUGUCUCUGCCUUGGAAUAUUUAUAUUUAGAUACAGGGACGCUGUUCCAACUCUUGUAUUAACCUCUUGGACUUUUUUGCGCGGUAAAUAUGACUUUUUAUCAAUGAGAAUUUCCUAUGCUUUUAGCCAAUGAGAAAACAGAAAAUUUUUAGUCAUAUAAUAAUUCUUUUUGUCUUGCCUUAAAAGAAGAAAUAACAGUUAUGUUAUGGUUUUGAUUUUUAAUCUCAAUUUGCUGAAAAUUCCUAGAUCUCAUGCAUGAACAGAUCACACUGUAGAAUAUGAAAUUAGUUUAGGCAAAAUGGUUUACCAAAGUAUAAAGCAAAGCAAAAUAUGCUAACAGACCAAUCUGGUUCAAUGAUUAAUAGAUAUAUAUGUAUAUCAUAUAAGAAUGAUCAUAAAUUGGUGCUGUAACUUUUAUAUUAUACAAAUAUAUAGCCCUCUUGUUAUCCUGUGACAAUGUUGAGUAAACAUAUGAUUUAAAUUGUUCACAUCAUAGCCAUCAUUUCCAAUCAGAUUCCUUUUUGCAGUUUAAAAAUACUAAAGGUUCACAUGGAAAAUAAAUUAUGAGCCUUUCCAUGAGCUAGCCACUUACAGAACUCUGAUUCCGGAAUAAAUUUUAUAUCCCUCCUUUUCAAUGUAAUUUCAUUGUUUACUUAUCUUAUGUAAACCAGUCUAAUAUAGUUUAAAAUUUCUUUUUUAACAGAAUGAAGUUAAACAGGUAGUGUCAUUUGCCAGUUCAAAGUAUGCAGAUUUAAGAAAUCAGCUACGUAGAAAGAUUUUCCAAGAGUUGACAGAGGGGAAGAAUGACCUCCAAAGCCUGCAGAUAGAUGAUUUUGCAAAAGUCAUCCUAAGCAGUUUCUGCAGUGCUUUGGAGAGUUAUGAUUCCCAAGAGAGAAUUAAACUCUGUUUGGUACUUAGAUCAUUCCUGCAUAAGAGGGGACUCUUUGCAACAAAGCAGUCAAUUCCAGAUUUCUGGGAUAAAUUUAAGAACUACUUCAUGGAAACCACCAAGGGGGCUAAUGACGAGAAGUGGGAGAAAUUGGCAGGAAUUGAUUCUCGUCGAAUUAUUAAGAGAUUGGAAGUUUUGGGUAAGAAUAGCUAAGUUAUUAAACAAAAUAUGAAGGAGUAUAUGUACGUACAGUAACUAUGUUAUUCAUACCUAAAUUGUUGUGUUAAAAUGCACAUUUAAAGACCCCUUUCAACUGCUAUAUCGCUAUAAACAUGCUAAAGCAUCAAGUUACCUCAUGAAAUCUUAAAUUUUAGAUUAAUAAGGAGUUGUGAUUUGAUUGGGUAUGGGACAAUUAUCUUAAACAAAGAGUGUCCAUGUGAAGUAGAUUUUAGCAAUAAAAGGUCCCUUUACAACCUUCAACAAUGAGCACAACUCAUAAUGUAUAGUAAGCUAUAAAAUGCUAUAAAAGGCUAGGACAUGUAAAAACUUGAAAAUUUAAAUGAAUACAUCAAUGGUCUAGUUAUGAAAAAACUGUCAAUGAUAAACAGAUAUUGCAACCAGCAACCAACUACAACCAAAAAAGUAUAGACUCAUAAAUAGUCGGUCAACCACAAAUACCAAUUAACAUGACCAAUUUGAAUCUCAGUUACACACUUUUCACACAUGUUGUUUCCCUUUGUCAAUUGAAAACUCAGGUUCUUACUGGAUAAAAAAGAUUAUAAGUGAUAUAUAUGGUAACAGGAAUGUUGAAGAAUUUUUGAGAAAAAAAUAUUAUUAAUACAUAAUGAUUUUAGCUUAACAAAAGGAAUAAAUGGAAUGAAAAGAUUUUGAAAAACUUUGUUUUCUCAGACUAGAGUAUCAAUCCAUCCACAUUCAACAGAGUGAAUACUUCCAAUAAAUCGUCAGAGAAAAGCAUGACUGUUAAAUCAUCA